AUGCUCACAUCACGUUGAAACACCGGUCCCCGCACGAUCAUCGUCGUUAAGCAACGUUGAACCUGGUCACUACCUGGAUGGGUGAACACUUGGAAAUAUCAGGUGCUGU